ACUUGAGAUUAGGGUUUGAUCAUGGCUCAGAUUGAACGCUGGCGGCAGGCCUAACACAUGCAAGUCGAGCGGUAGCACAGGAGAGCUUGCUCUCUGGGUGACGAGCGGCGGACGGGUGAGUAAUGUCUGGGAAACUGCCUGAUGGAGGGGGAUAACUACUGGAAACGGUAGCUAAUACCGCAUAACGUCUACGGACCAAAGUGGGGGACCUUCGGGCCUCAUGCCAUCAGAUGUGCCCAGAUGGGAUUAGCUAGUAGGUGGGGUAAUGGCUCACCUAGGCGACGAUCCCUAGCUGGUCUGAGAGGAUGACCAGCCACACUGGAACUGAGACACGGUCCAGACUCCUACGGGAGGCAGCAGUGGGGAAUAUUGCACAAUGGGCGCAAGCCUGAUGCAGCCAUGCCGCGUGUGUGAAGAAGGCCUUCGGGUUGUAAAGCACUUUCAGCGAGGAGGAAGGGUUCAGUGUUAAUAGCACUGUUCAUUGACGUUACUCGCAGAAGAAGCACCGGCUAACUCCGUGCCAGCAGCCGCGGUAAUACGGAGGGUGCAAGCGUUAAUCGGAAUUACUGGGCGUAAAGCGCACGCAGGCGGUUUGUUAAGUCAGAUGUGAAAUCCCCGCGCUUAACGUGGGAACUGCAUUUGAAACUGGCAAGCUAGAGUCUUGUAGAGGGGGGUAGAAUUCCAGGUG
rnacentral:rRNA from 1 species